AUUGAACGCUAGCGGCAUGCCUUACACAUGCAAGUCGAACGGUGUGGCCAACGGGUGAGUGAUGGAUCGGUACGUGCCAAGUAGCGGGGGAUAACUACGCGAAAGCGGAGCACAUCUGGUAUACUAUUGCAGCGGCCGAUAUGGGAUUAGGUAGUUGGUGGGGUAAUGGCUCACCAAGGCGACGAUCCGUAGCUGGUUUGAGAGGAUGAUCAGCCACACUGGGACUGAGACACGGCCCAGACUCCUACGGGAGGCAGCAGUGGGGAAUUUUGGACAAUGGGGGAAACCCUGAUGCAGCCAUCCCGCGUGUGCGAAGAAGGCCUUCGGGUUGUAAAGCACUUUUAGCGAGGAGGCGGUACUUGCAGAAUAAGCACCGGCUAACUACGUGCCAGCAGCCGCGGUAAUUC
rnacentral:rRNA from 1 species